rnacentral:lncRNA from 1 species
GAAGAAUUAUCGCAUUUAUACUACUUCAAACUUGUUGCAGAAUCUUUCGUUCAAUUCAUUUCUCACCCUCUAAAUGUAAGCCUUCAGCAGCAAUGAUGAAGGAAUAACUAAGAACUACUAAGUCUUUGCUGAUCCAAUGCAACACAUUAUCUAAUUAUCAACUGAGUAAGAAACUUCUCAUUUGUUUACUUGCAGAAUUUGACCUUCAGAAAUUCAAGAAAUUCUGCAACAAUGCAUUAGAGAACUGCACUAAAGAUCCAACAUCUAUCUCAGAAAAAAAU